rfam:Punica granatum cultivar Dabenzi scaffold289, whole genome shotgun sequence.
ACUAAAUAUGUGUACCUGCUGUAAAUAUGGACAGAGAAAAAUUUGUAGGAUUUAGGGGAGCCUAUAUUAGCCUUAAUAGUGCUCCCAAAGGACCUGCAAACAUGU